AGUGAACGCUGGCGGUAGGCCUAACACAUGCAAGUCGAACGGCAGCACAGUAAGAGCUCGCUCUUACGGGUGGCGAGUGGCGGACGGGUGAGGAAUACAUCGGAAUCUACUUUUUCGUGGGUGAUAACGUAGGGAAACUUACGCUAAUACCGCAUACGACCUACGGGUGAAAGCAGGGGAUCUUCGGACCUUGCGCGAUUGAAUGAGCCGAUGUCGGAUUAGCUAGUUGGCGAGGUAAAGGCCCACCAAGGCGACGAUCCGUAGCUGGUCUGAGAGGAUGAUCGGCCACACUGGAACUGAGACACGGUCCAGACUCCUACGGGAGGCAGCAGUGGGGAAUAUUGGACAAUGGGCGCAAGCCUGAUCCAGCCAUGCCGCGUGAGUGAAGAAGGCCUUCGGGUUGUAAAGCCCUUUUGUUGGGAAAGAAAAGAAGCAGGUUAAUACCCCGCUGUUCUGACGGUACCCAAAGAAUAAGCACCGGCUAACUUCGUG
rnacentral:rRNA from 1 species